UGUAGCUAUGGAUACUGAAUUGAAUCGAUCGACAAUUUCGCGAAUCAAAGCGAAUUCCUCCUCAAGAUUAUCAUUCCACACCUCUCGGAUUUGAAUGGAGUCGCCUUUAGGUACAAUUGACAUUUCCAACACACGGAUUCAAAAAGCAAUGGAGCAACUAAUACUAUAAACCCCAGAUCUGAAGCAAAAUAAGCAUAAUCACUCAAAACCUGAAACGGGUCUUGUUGUGAAUUUGAUUUCCAAGACGGCGUCGUUUUCUAUAUUAAGUAGAUCU
rnacentral:misc_RNA from 1 species